GAUGAACGCUGGCGGCGUGCCUAAUACAUGCAAGUCGAGCGAACGGACGAGAAGCUUGCUUCUCUGAUGUUAGCGGCGGACGGGUGAGUAACACGUGGAUAACCUACCUAUAAGACUGGGAUAACUUCGGGAAACCGGAGCUAAUACCGGAUAAUAUUUUGAACCGCAUGGUUCAAAAGUGAAAGACGGUCUUGCUGUCACUUAUAGAUGGAUCCGCGCUGCAUUAGCUAGUUGGUAAGGUAACGGCUUACCAAGGCAACGAUGCAUAGCCGACCUGAGAGGGUGAUCGGCCACACUGGAACUGAGACACGGUCCAGACUCCUACGGGAGGCAGCAGUAGGGAAUCUUCCGCAAUGGGCGAAAGCCUGACGGAGCAACGCCGCGUGAGUGAUGAAGGUCUUCGGAUCGUAAAACUCUGUUAUUAGGGAAGAACAUAUGUGUAAGUAACUGUGCACAUCUUGACGGUACCUAAUCAGAAAGCCACGGCUAACUACGUGCCAGCAGCCGCGGUAAUACGUAGGUGGCAAGCGUUAUCCGGAAUUAUUGGGCGUAAAGCGCGCGUAGGCGGUUUUUUAAGUCUGAUGUGAAAGCCCACGGCUCAACCGUGGAGGGUCAUUGGAAACUGGAAAACUUGAGUGCAGAAGAGGAAAGUGGAAUUCCAUGUGUAGCGGUGAAAUGCGCAGAGAUAUGGAGGAACACCAGUGGCGAAGGCGACUUUCUGGUCUGUAACUGACGCUGAUGUGCGAAAGCGUGGGGAUCAAACAGGAUUAGAUACCCUGGUAGCCCACGCCGUAAACGAUGAGUGCUAAGUGUUAGGGGGUUUCCGCCCCUUAGUGCUGCAGCUAACGCAUUAAGCACUCCGCCUGGGGAGUACGACCGCAAGGUUGAAACUCAAAGGAAUUGACGGGGACCCGCACAAGCGGUGGAGCAUGUGGUUUAAUUCGAAGCAACGCGAAGAACCUUACCAAAUCUUGACAUCCUUUGACAACUCUAGAGAUAGAGCCUUCCCCUUCGGGGGACAAAGUGACAGGUGGUGCAUGGUUGUCGUCAGCUCGUGUCGUGAGAUGUUGGGUUAAGUCCCGCAACGAGCGCAACCCUUAAGCUUAGUUGCCAUCAUUAAGUUGGGCACUCUAAGUUGACUGCCGGUGACAAACCGGAGGAAGGUGGGGAUGACGUCAAAUCAUCAUGCCCCUUAUGAUUUGGGCUACACACGUGCUACAAUGGACAAUACAAAGGGCAGCGAAACCGCGAGGUCAAGCAAAUCCCAUAAAGUUGUUCUCAGUUCGGAUUGUAGUCUGCAACUCGACUACAUGAAGCUGGAAUCGCUAGUAAUCGUAGAUCAGCAUGCUACGGUGAAUACGUUCCCGGGUCU
rnacentral:rRNA from 1 species